rnacentral:rRNA from 1 species
GAUCAUGGCUCAGGAUUAACGCUGGCGGCGUGCCUAAUACAUGCAAGUCGAAUGGUAGCAAUACCAUGGCGAACGGGUGAGUAACACGUAGGUAACCUGUCUUUAAGCCGAGGAUAACCAUUGGAAACGAUGGAUAAUACUGGAUAGGACAUUUGAAGGCAUCUUUAGAUGUUUAAAGAUUUAUCACUUAGAGAGGGGCCUGCGGCGCAUUAGCUAGUUGGUGAGGUGAAGGCUUACCAAGGCGAUGAUGCGUAGCCGGACUGAGAGGUUGAACGGCCACAAUGGAACUGAGAACGGUCCAUACUCCUACGGGAGGCAGCAGUAGGGAAUUUUCGGCAAUGGGCGGAAGCCUGAACCCGAGCAACGCCGCGUGAACGAAGAAGUAUUUCGGUAUGUAAAGUUCUUUUAUUAGGGACGAAAAGACAGAUUGACGGUACCUAAUGAAUAAGCUCCGGCUAACUACGUGCCAGCCGCAGC